UACCAUGGUUUUAACGGUAACAGGGGAAUUAGGGUUCGAUUCCGGAGAGGGAGCCUGAGAAACGGCUACCACAUCCAAGGAAGGCAGCAGGCGCGCAAAUUACCCAAUCCCGUCACGGGGAGGUAGUGACAAUAAAUAACAAUAUGGGGCUCUUACGAGUCUCGUAAUUGGAAUGAGUACAAUUUAAAUCUCUUAACGAGGAACAAUUGGAGGGCAAGUCUGGUGCCAGCAGCCGCGGUAAUUCCAGCUCCAAUAGCGUAUAUUAAAGUUGUUGCAGUUAAAAAGCUCGUAGUUGAAUUUCGGGAUCAAUACGUCGGUCGUGCUUUCGGGUACGUACUGGCAUCAUUGGUUUCUCCUUUCUGACGAAUCAUGAUGUCAUUAAUUUGGUGUUAUGGGGAGUUAGGACUGUUACUUUGAAAAAAUUAGAGUGUUUAAAGCAGGCAUUAGCUUGAAUACAUUAGCAUGGAAUAAUGAAAUAGGACGUUCGAUCCUAUUUUGUUGGUUUCUAGGAUCAACGUAAUGAUUAAUAGGGAUAGUUGGGGGCAUUAGUAUUCAAUUGUCAGAGGUGAAAUUCUUGGAUUUAUUGAAGACUAACUACUGCGAAAGCAUUUGCCAAGGAUGUUUUCAUUAAUCAAGAACGAAAGUUAGGGGAUCGAAGACGAUCAGAUACCGUCGUAGUCUUAACCAUAAACUAUGCCGACUAGGGAUCGGAUGAUGUUAAUUUUUUAAUGACUCAUUCGGCGCCUUACGGGAAACCAAAGUGUUU
rnacentral:rRNA from 1 species